UACGGAGGUGGCAAGCGUUGUUCGGAAUUACUGGGCUUAAAGCGCGUGUAGGCGGGACCGAAAGUGUCGAGUGAAAGCCCUUGGCUCAACCAAGGAAUGGCUUGGCAUACUGCGGCCCUUGAGGCAGGUAGAGGUCGCUGGAACGACGGGUGGAGCGGUGAAAUGCGUAGAUAUCCGUUGGAAUGCCGGAGGCGAAAGCGGGCGACUGGACCUGUCCUGACGCUGAGACGCGAAAGCGUGGGGAGCAAACAGG
rnacentral:rRNA from 1 species